CUGCCCAUUUCGUGGGGGAUAACUCGGGGAAACUCGAGCUAAUACCGCAUAAUCCCUACGGGGGAAAGCAGGGGACCUUCGGGCCUUGUGCAGAUGGAUGAGCUCGCGUCGGAUUAGCUUGUUGGUGAGGUAAAGGCUCACCAAGGCGACGAUCCGUAGCUGGUCUGAGAGGAUGAUCAGCCACACCGGGACUGAGACACGGCCCGGACUCCUACGGGAGGCAGCAGUGGGGAAUCUUGGACAAUGGGGGCAACCCUGAUCCAGCCAUGCCGCGUGUGUGAAGAAGGCCUUCGGGUUGUAAAGCACUUUCAGUAGGGAGGAAGGCUUACCGCUAAUAACGGUGAGUACUUGACGUUACCUACAGAAGAAGCACCGGCUAAUUUCGUGCCAGCAGCCGCGGUAAUA
rnacentral:rRNA from 1 species